rnacentral:rRNA from 1 species
CCUACGGGAGGCAGCAGUGAGGAAUAUUGGUCAAUGGCCGGAAGGCUGAACCAGCCAUGCCGCGUGAAGGUCAGUGCCCUAUGGGCGUUAAACUUCUUUUGUGCGGGAGCAAUAAUGGUCACGUGUGGCCAGACGAGAGUACCGUACGAAUAAGCAUCGGCUAACUCCGUGCCAGCAGCCGCGGUAAUACGGGGGAUGCAAGCGUUAUCCGGAUUUAUUGGGUUUAAAGCGUGCGUAGGCUGUUAGGUAAGUCAGCGGUGAAAUGCCCCCGCUCAAAGGGGUGAAGUGCCAUUGAUACUGCCUUGCUUGAAUGCGGAUGCCGUGGGAGGAAUGUGUGGUGUAGCGGUGAAAUGCAUAGAUAUCACACAGAACACCGAUUGCGAAGGCAUCUCACGAAUCCGCGAUUGACGCUGAUGCACGAAAGCGUGGGUAUCAAACAGGAUUAGAUACCCCUGUAGUC